rnacentral:rRNA from 1 species
GACGUAGGAGGCGAGCGUUAUCCGGACUCACUGGGCGUAAAGCGCAUGUAGGCGGAUGUCUAAGUCGUGUGUUAAAGCCCCUGGCUCAACUGGGGGAGGUCAUGCGAGACUGGAUGACUUGAGGGCAACAGAGGCACGUGGAACUCCCGGUGUAGCGGUGGAAUGCGUAGAGAUCGGGAAGAACACCCGUGGCGAAGGCGGCGUGCUGGGUUGCAACUGACGCUGAGAUGCGAAAGUGUGGGGAGCAAACGGG